rnacentral:lncRNA from 1 species
GUGAGUCCCCUAUGUAACUCCCGCCCUUCUUCCUCACUUUGAGGAGGGUGGGGGACGAGGUCAUGAGGGAGGCUCCUCCUGGGCAGGGGCAGGUGUGGGAGGCUGUGAGCCCGGGGCCCUGGCCUGCGCCCCCAGGACGGGGGUGAGAGGAGGAGAAGGGCAGUGCCCAGGGAUGAUCCGCAGCCCGCAGGGCCUUCUCCUGUCCUCUGGGGUAGAAGCCUGAGACAGAGCUGUUUGUGUUUCAGGAGCACAAGGUUACCCGGGGCAGAAACAGCGCAAACUGUGGUCAGGCAGAGCCUUGUGCUUGCUGCUGGCUGCCGGGCACUGUCCCCACAGAGCUGCACACAGGACACUGUGUCACUUCCGUCCUGUCACGGCUUUAUUCUGCCAUGUCACCUCAGGGCAACUCCUGGCCAGGGCCCAUGUAGUACCCACAGGGGCUACGCGACCUGCAAAGAUGGCAGUGAGCACAGCCGGGAAGCCUCUCAGGACCAGGAAGUGGGCCUGACUUUUUCUGAGCCUUCUCCACCAGGGACAGGCUGGCCUCACAGGAGGCCUGGAGCCAGGCUGAGCCUCGGUUUCUCUCUCCACCAUGGGACCUGAGGGUGGGUGGGCUCUUCAUGCCCCAGGCCAUGACCUCUCCUUGUUAAUGAGCCAUGAAUCGGUAGCAUUUCUGUGUGUCCUUUCUGAAAUUACCUUCUAACAUGCAUUGCUUUUCUGCCGGGCCCACUUGUGCCCCUUCUGGUACGAGCCAUGAUGGCGACUUGCAGAGUGGUCUGGGCUUCAGCCUCCAGCCCUCCUGAUGGCCUGGGUGGGCCCCAGUUCCAUGUCUCCCCUCUGUUCCAUCACAGACUGGGGCCCAACGGGAGGAGAGCCGGCAGAGGACUGCAUGGUAAGGAUGGUGCUGGCAGGCAUGCAGCACCCCCUGAGGGAGCCCCCAGAAUGGGAUGUCCUGGACAGCUGCCCCAUCCAUGCAGACUCCCUCCUGGACCCCUCUGGGGCCUGCAUUCCCACCCUGCAGGAGGGGAUGGUGCCAAGAUGUGGAUCCACAGCAGUGCAAGAGGAGCCCAGGAGCGGCAUAGACUCCGGGCAGCACAGCGCUGCAGAGCUGAAGCCUGAGGAGAGGACCAGCUCCACCCCCAGCUGAAGUCCCAUGUGCGGAGCCCGAGCCAGCUCCACCUGCAGCUUCCUGCCCAGGGCUGGGACCACAGCCAGAGUCCAUGGCAGCCGCUUCACCUGCUGCAGUGCUGGGGCACCCGGUGGUUGCACGGCUGUCGGUGUCACCUCCUGAGCUCCGCCUGGGGCCAGCUCCUGGCCCCCUCCCACUGUUCCCCUC